rnacentral:rRNA from 1 species
UUGAACGCUGGCGGCAGGCCUAACACAUGCAAGUCGAACGGUAACAGGAAGAAGCUUGCUUCUUUGCUGACGAGUGGCGGACGGGUGAGUAAUGUCUGGGAAACUGCCUGAUGGAGGGGGAUAACUACUGGAAACGGUAGCUAAUACCGCAUAACGUCGCAAGACCAAAGAGGGGGACCUUCGGGCCUCUUGCCAUCGGAUGUGCCCAGAUGGGAUUAGCUUGUUGGUGGGGUAACGGCUCACCAAGGCGACGAUCCCUAGCUGGUCUGAGAGGAUGACCAGCCACACUGGAACUGAGACACGGUCCAGACUCCUACGGGAGGCAGCAGUGGGGAAUAUUGCACAAUGGGCGCAAGCCUGAUGCAGCCAUGCCGCGUGUAUGAAGAAGGCCUUCGGGUUGUAAAGUACUUUCAGCGGGGAGGAAGGGAGUAAAGUUAAUACCUUUACUCAUUGACGUUACCCGCAGAAGAAGCACCGGCUAACUCCGUGCCAGCAGCCGCGGUAAUACGGAGGGUGCAAGCGUUAAUCGGAAUUACUGGGCGUAAAGCGCACGCAGGCGGUUUGUUAAGUCAGAUGUGAAAUCCCCGGGCUCAACCUGGGAACUGCAUCUGAUACUGGCAAGCUUGAGUCUCGUAGAGGGGGGUAGAAUUCCAGGUGUAGCGGUGAAAUGCGUAGAGAUCUGGAGGAAUACCGGUGGCGAAGGCGGCCCCCUGGACGAAGACUGACGCUCAGGUGCGAAAGCGUGGGGAGCAAACAGGAUUAGAUACCCUGGUAGUCCACGCCGUAAACGAUGUCGACUUGGAGGUUGUGCCCUUGAGGCGUGGCUUCCGGAGCUAACGCGUUAAGUCGACCGCCUGGGGAGUACGGCCGCAAGGUUAAAACUCAAAUGAAUUGACGGGGGCCCGCACAAGCGGUGGAGCAUGUGGUUUAAUUCGAUGCAACGCGAAGAACCUUACCUGGUCUUGACAUCCACGGAAGUUUUCAGAGAUGAGAAUGUGCCUUCGGGAACCGUGAGACAGGUGCUGCAUGGCUGUCGUCAGCUCGUGUUGUGAAAUGUUGGGUUAAGUCCCGCAACGAGCGCAACCCUUAUCCUUUGUUGCCAGCGGUCCGGCCGGGAACUCAAAGGAGACUGCCAGUGAUAAACUGGAGGAAGGUGGGGAUGACGUCAAAUCAUCAUGCCCCUUAUGACCUGGGCUACACACGUGCUACAAUGGCGCAUACAAAGAGAAGCGACCUCGCGAGAGCAAGCGGACCUCAUAAAGUGCGUCGUAGUCCGGAUUGGAGUCUGCAACUCGACUCCAUGAAGUCGGAAUCGCUAGUAAUCGUGGAUCAGAAUGCCACGGUGAAUACGUUCCCGGGCCUUGUACACACCGCCCGUCACACCAUGGGAGUGGGUUGCAAAAGAAGUAGGUAGCUUAACCUUCGGGAGGGCGCUUACCACUUUGUGAUUCAUGACUGGGGUG